rnacentral:rRNA from 1 species
UACGGGGGGGGCAAGCGUUGUUCGGAAUUACUGGGCGUAAAGGGUUCGUAGGUGGCCUGCUAAGUCACACGUGAAAUCCCUCAGCUUAACUGGGGAACUGCGUGUGAGACUGGCGGGCUUGAGUGCAGGAGAGGAACGCGGAAUUCCAGGUGUAGCGGUGAAAUGCGUAGAUAUCUGGAGGAACACCGGUGGCGAAGGCGGCGUUCUGGACUGCUACUGACACUGAGGAACGAAAGCCAGGGGAGCAAGCGGG